rnacentral:lncRNA from 1 species
CUACCUCACCUCCAGCUGCUUCAGGAGAAAGGAAUUAAAAUCAAGCCCAAGUUGCUUUCCAGAUGCUGUCCGAAUCUGCCUCUUUUUCUUUCUCUUGUUUCAGUUAAAGAUAUGGUAUCAGAGAUGGCUGAGAAGAUUGUUAGAGCCAGAGGUGUGAAAGUAAAUGGCUUAUGGAGAGCAAAGCCCUGAGAAGAAAGAAGAAAGAAUGUGAGGACCACAAUGUUCCAGAGCUAUGCCAGACUUAUCCCGGUGGUUCCUUCUGGAGACAACUAAGCGAUGGAUCAUCACAUAUACACAAACACAUAGCUCUACACAGACUAUGAAGACCUGGCAAAGCUGGGGAAAGGGGAAGACCUAGAAUGGUAUUAAAAAUGCCAUGUAAUGAUGCAGGAAAGAGCAAGCUAUGGAUUAAUCUAUACUGUGUGAUUCCGUGUUAGUGCCCUGUAAAUGUACGCAAACGUUUACAUACUAGUAACAGACAGAAAAUAUGUAAGAACUUGACAGCAACUCAUCCACUUCAGAGGAGCGCAGGGUAACGAAGCCAUUAGCUUCAGUUGUUUGUUAUUCGAAUGGUCCCAGGAAUUAUAUGUUAUAUUAUGAAAUGCAUUUUAAAGACACUAAUUUUU